GAGACAAUGGCUCAGUGGUUAAAGACUUUUGACUGUCAAUCACUAGGUUACAGGUUCGAACCCCUAUUUUACC
rnacentral:tRNA from 1 species